GACGAACGCUGGCGGCGUGCUUAACACAUGCAAGUCGAACGAUGAAGCCGGAGCUUGCUCUGGUGGAUUAGUGGCGAACGGGUGAGUAACACGUGAGUAACCUGCCCUUGACUCUGGGAUAAGCGAUGGAAACGACGUCUAAUACCGGAUACGAGCUAGGACCGCAUGGUCACUAGCUGGAAAGAAUUUCGGUCAAGGAUGGACUCGCGGCCUAUCAGUUAGUUGGUGAGGUAACGACUCACCAAGACGACGACGGGUAGCCGGCCUGAGAGGGGGACCGGCCACACUGGGACUGAGACACGGCCCAGACUCCUACGGGAGGCAGCAGUGGGGAAUAUUGCACAAUGGGCGCAAGCCUGAUACAGCAACGCCGCGUGAGGGACGACGGCCUUCGGGUUGUAAACCUCUUUUAGCAGGGAAGAAGCGCAAGUGACGGUACCUGCAGAAAAAGCACCGGCUAACUACGUGCCAGCCGCCGCCGUAA
rnacentral:rRNA from 1 species